CCUACGGGGGGCUGCAGUGAGGAAUAUUGGUCAAUGGACGAGAGUCUGAACCAGCCAAGUAGCGUGAAGGAUGACUGCCCUAUGGGUUGUAAACUUCUUUUAUAGGGGAAUAAAAUGUGCCACGUGUGGGAUUUUGUAUGUACCAUAUGAAUAAGGAUCGGCUAACUCCGUGCCAGCAGCCGCGGUAAUACGGAGGAUCCGAGCGUUAUCCGGAGUUAGUGGGUUUAAAGGGAGCGUAGGUGGAUUGUUAAGUCAGUUGUGCAAGUUUGCGGCUCAACCGUAAAAUUUCAGUUGAAACUGGCAGUCUUGCUUACAGUAGCGGUGGGCGGAAUUCGUGGUGUAGC
rnacentral:rRNA from 1 species